UACGUAGGGAGCGAGCGUUGUUCGGAGUUACUGGGCGUAAAGCGUGCGUAGGCGGUUUUGUAAGUUUGGUGUGAAAUCUCCCGGCUCAACUGGGAGGGUGCGCCGAAAACUGCAAGGCUGGAGUAUGGGAGAGGUAGGCGGAAUUCCUGGUGUAGCGGUGAAAUGCGUAGAUAUCAGGAGGAACACCUGUGGUGUAGACGGCUUACUGGACCAUGACUGACGCUGAGGCACGAAAGCGUGGGGAGCAAACAGG
rnacentral:rRNA from 1 species